GAUGAACGCUGGCGGCGUGCCUAAUACAUGCAAGUCGAGCGAACAGACGAGGAGCUUGCUCCUCUGACGUUAGCGGCGGACGGGUGAGUAACACGUGGAUAACCUACCUAUAAGACUGGGAUAACUUCGGGAAACCGGAGCUAAUACCGGAUAAUAUAUUGAACCGCAUGGUUCAAUAGUGAAAGACGGUUUUGCUGUCACUUAUAGAUGGAUCCGCGCCGCAUUAGCUAGUUGGUAAGGUAACGGCUUACCAAGGCGACGAUGCAUAGCCGACCUGAGAGGGUGAUCGGCCACACUGGAACUGAGACACGGUCCAGACUCCUACGGGAGGCAGCAGUAGGGAAUCUUCCGCAAAGGGCGAAAGCCUGACGGAGCAACGCCGCGUGAGUGAUGAAGGUCUUCGGAUCGUAAAACUCUGUUAUUAGGGAAGAACAAAUGUGUAAGUAACUAUGCACGUCUUGACGGUACCUAAUCAGAAAGCCACGGCUAACUACGUG
rnacentral:rRNA from 1 species